rnacentral:tRNA from 1 species
AACAUAGAAGUAAAGUAUACAUUUAGUUUCGACCUAAAAUUUAAGGAAGAAUAAUCCUUCAUGUUU